ACGGAAGGCAGCAGUGGGGAAUAUUGGACAAUGGGGGAAACCCUGAUCCAGCGACGCCGCGUGAGUGAAGAAGUAUUUCGGUAUGUAAAGCUCUAUCAGCAAGGAAGAAAAUGACGGUACUUGACUAAGAAGCUCCGGCUAAAUACGUGCCAGCAGCCGCGGUAAUACGUAUGGAGCAAGCGUUAUCCGGAUUUACUGGGUGUAAAGGGAGCGUAGACGGCAAAGCAAGUCUGAAGUGAAAUCCCGGGGCUCAACCCCGGAACUGCUUUGGAAACUGUUUAGCUAGAGUGCAGGAGAGGUAAGCGGAAUUCCUAGUGUAGCGGUGAAAUGCGAAGAUAUUAGGAGGAACACCAGUGGCGAAGGCGGCUUACUGGACUGUAACUGACGUUGAGGCUCGAAAGCGUGGGGAGCAAACAGGAUUAGAUACCCUGGUA
rnacentral:rRNA from 1 species